AGCGAACGCUGGCAGCAGGCCUAACACAUGCAAGUCGAACGAAGUCUUCGGACUUAGUGGCGGACGGGUGAGUAACACGUGGGAACGUGCCUUUAGGUUCGGAAUAACUCAGGGAAACUUGUGCUAAUACCGAAUGUGCCCUUCGGGGGAAAGAUUUAUCGCCUUUAGAGCGGCCCGCGUCUGAUUAGCUAGUUGGUGAGGUAAAGGCUCACCAAGGCGACGAUCAGUAGCUGGUCUGAGAGGAUGAUCAGCCACAUUGGGACUGAGACACGGACCAAACUCCUACGGGAGGCAGCAGUGGGGAAUCUUGCGCAAUGGGCGAAAGCCUGACGCAGCCAUGCCGCGUGAAUGAUGAAGGUCUUAGGAUUGUAAAAUUCUUUCACCGGGGACGAUAAUGACGGUACCCGGAGAAGAAGCCCCGGCUAACUUCGUGCCAGCCGCCGCGGUAACAC
rnacentral:rRNA from 1 species